UACGUAGGGUGCAGGCGUUAAUCGGAAUUACUGGGCGUAAAGCGUGCGCAGGCGGUCUGCUAAGUGAGGUGUGAAAUCCCCGGGCUUAACCUGGGAACUGCGCUUCUAACUGGCGGGCUUGAGUGUGGCAGAGGGGGGUGGAAUUCCACGUGUAGCAGUGAAAUGCGUAGAGAUGUGGAGGAACACCAGUGGCGAAGGCGGCUUUUUGGUCUGUAACUGACGCUGAGGCGCGAAAGCGUGGGGAGCAAACAGG
rnacentral:rRNA from 1 species